rnacentral:rRNA from 1 species
AUUGAACGCUGGCGGCAUGCUUUACACAUGCAAGUCGAACGGUAACAGGCCGCAAGGUGCUGACGAGUGGCGAACGGGUGAGUAAUGCAUCGGAACGUGCCCAGUCGUGGGGGAUAACUACUCGAAAGAGUAGCUAAUACCGCAUACGAUCUAUGGAUGAAAGCGGGGGACCGUAAGGCCUCGCGCGAUUGGUGCGGCCGAUGUCAGAUUAGGUAGUUGGUGGGGUAAAGGCUCACCAAGCCAACGAUCUGUAGCUGGUCUGAGAGGACGACCAGCCACACUGGGACUGAGACACGGCCCAGACUCCUACGGGAGGCAGCAGUGGGGAAUUUUGGACAAUGGGCGCAAGCCUGAUCGAGCAAUGCCGCGUGCAGGAAGAAGGCCUUCGGGUUGUAAACUGCUUUUGUACGGAACGAAACGGCUCUGGUUAAUACCCGGGGCUAAUGACGGUACCGUAAGAAUAAGCACCGGCUAACUACGUG